rnacentral:rRNA from 1 species
GACGAACGCUGGCGGCGUGCUUAACACAUGCAAGUCGAACGAUGACGUCCGAGCUUGCUCGGUCUGAUUAGUGGCGAACGGGUGAGUAACACGUGAGCAACCUGCCCUUCACUCUGGGAUAACCUCGGGAAAUCGGGGCUAAUACCGGAUAUGAGCUCCUGUCGCAUGGCGGGUGUUGGAAAGUUUUUCGGUUAAGGAUGGGCUCGCGGCCUAUCAGUUUGUUGGUGAGGUAGUGGCUCACCAAGGCGAUGACGGGUAGCCGGCCUGAGAGGGCGACAGGCCACACUGGGACUGAGACACGGCCCAGACUCCUACGGGAGGCAGCAGUGGGGAAUAGUGCACAAUGGGCGAAAGCCUGAUGCAGCGACGCCGCGUGAGGGAUGACGGCCUUCGGGUUGUAAACCUCUUUCAGCAGGGAAGAAGCGAAAGUGACGGUACCUGCAGAAGAAGCGCCGGCUAACUACGUG